rnacentral:tRNA from 1 species
GUUUUAAUAGUUUAAAAAAAAUAAUGAUUUUGUAAAUCAUAGAUAGAUAUUCUUUAAAACU